rnacentral:misc_RNA from 1 species
UCUCCGUAGGUGAACCUGCGGAGGGAUCAUUACUGAGUGAGGGCUUCGGUCCGACCUCCAACCCUUUGUGAACCAAACUUGUUGCUUCGGGGGCGACCCGGCCCUCUGGGCGUCGGGGCCCCCGGUGGCUCACACCUCAACUCUUGCAUCUGUGCGUCUGAGUAACAUAUUGAAUCAAUCAAAACUUUCAACAACGGAUCUCUUGGUUCUGGCAUCGAUGAAGAACGCAGC